GCACGACAUCACUGAAAAUGGAUGAGAGCUCCUUCUCUAAAAUGGAUGCAAGAGAUGAUAGCUCUUUCUCCAAAUUCCCUAAAAGAGGUUUCGUCAGGAAACCUAAUCCGGACUUAGAUGUCGACAUCUCAUUCAGUUUCCUUAAAAGAGAAUCCAGAAAGCUCAAUCCACCAAAGGUGGGGAACUGAGAUGGAGUAAAUUUUAAGGAUUUGUAGUACGUCUCAACUUGUGCCUUCAGAUCUUUAGUCUUCUCCAAUAUCUGUAUUGAGCAAAGACUUA
rnacentral:misc_RNA from 1 species